AGUUAGGAAAAACAUGACAAAACAGGAGGCCACUGAGUAAAGCAAAACAACAAAACCCACUUUGAAAUAAUGAAAUCACUCAAGCAGGAAUAAUUGCCUUAAGAAACAGAGACAAAGUAAAAGGGCAAGAGCAAAAAACACUAUGAAAGUAUUCAAAUACUCUUAAAACCCUUACCUCCAGUUAAACAAAUGAUUUGAUUUUAGGACCAAAUUUUAUUUUAUAUUUUUUUUCGGACCAAAUUUUAAACAAUAUUAUUGUUGUCUGCAGAAGCCAUCAAUAACCUAAACCACUAAUGAAAUAUCUCAUUAAAAUGAUUUUGACUUUUUAAAAAAAAGAUUUUAUUACAGAGAGAGAAAGAGCACAAGUAGGGGGAGCUGCAGUCGCAGAGGGAAAAGCUGGCUCCCCACUCAGCAGGGAGCCUGAUGGGGCUCAAUUCCAGAAUUGUUGGAUCAUACCUGAACCAAAGGCAGAUGUUUAACUGACUGAGCCACGCAGGCACCUCUUCUUUACCGCUUUUGAUUUAGUAAUGAUUUCAUGAUUGCUAGACUAUUAUUUAAUAUAAAGUCUCAACUUCUUCAAGUUUCUUCUUUCCCAACAAGUGGUGAAUUAGUUCUUUAUCAUGUGUUUAGGCCUCCUGCUGGAAAGUAUAAUUAAAAUUAAGAAAAAGAAAAAAACAACAAUUCCACUUGGUACUAAGAUCCUGUCAAAUUCUUCAGUGUGAGUCUGGUUUCUCCAGUAGCCAGCUGAGAGUUCUGUAAGAACAUGGGGCUGUUCAACUUGAUGCUGGCCAUUCAGUAGAUGGCACUCUUCCCUUUGAGCCCAAAUUAAACAAGCUCAAAGAAGCAUGUUCUGUGACAGUCAGGUGUGAUACAAAACAGGGUUCUCUCUACAAAGCACUUAACUGAUAGUCACGAUCCCUCCAGAAUUGCAUUCAUCAAAAGCUGAUGGUCCAACCAGACACUUUUUAUAGAGCCCAGUGUAAUUCAAAUUAUAAAACCUCAAACACAAUAAAAUCACCUAACUCAAGUGAUUACCAAGUAAACAGCUUCUCAAAGCCUUCGCUAUGUCAAGCAGAGACACUGUUCUUAUUCAGUCAUUCCAGCAGAUCAAAAGAUGACAGGAUGAGAAUACUGUAUGGAAAAAGGAAAAAGGAAAUGCUGUCCUUGUACAGGAUAACUGAGCCAUUGUGGAAAAACGUCACAGAAACACUGCUGACGGUGACAAAUUAAAGGCAUACACCAAGCCCCAAGAUACUGAAAAACUCAGCACUUCUCCAACCUGAUUGCCUUCUACAUUGUUCAAAUUCCAGCUCCCCUAGCAGCUAUUACCAACAUGCCAGCAUUUGAGGUCAGUUUUAAGAGUGACCUCUUUGGCCAGGGCGCCUGGGUGGCUCCCAGUCAGUCUUCUGAAGCCCAGAUUAGGACAUACCAAGCAUUAUGUAGAGGCACUUCACUCCAAGAAAAGCAACCGUUCUCAUACUGACUGCUAAAUCUGAAAUGUUGGGAUCCCUGGGUGGCGCAGCGGUUUGGCGCCUGCCUUUGGCUCAGGGCGCAAUCCUGGAGACUCGGGAUCGAAUCCCACGUCGGGCUCCCGGUGCAUGGAGCCUG